rnacentral:rRNA from 1 species
GACGAACGCUGGCGGCGUGCUUAACACAUGCAAGUCGAACGGAAAGGCCCUGCUUUUGUGGGGUGCUCGAGGGGCGAACGGGUGAGUAACACGUGAGUAACCUGCCCUUGAUUUUGGGAUAACUUCAGGAAACUGGGGCUAAUACCGUAUAGGAGCUCCUGUAGCAUGGAGGGGGUGGGAAAGUUUCGGCGGGUGGGGAUGGACUCGCGGCUUAUGAGCUUGUUGGUGGGGGAGGGGAUUGCCAAGGCUUUGAAGGGUAGCCGGCCUGGGAGGGUGACCGGCCACAUUGGCACAGGGGUACGGCCCAGACGCCUUCGGGGGCCAGCGGUGCGGACUUUUGCCCACUGGGCCGCGGCCUGAUGCAGCACCGCCGCGUGCGAGAUGCCGGCCUUCGGGUUGUAAACCGCUUUCGCCUGUGACGAAGCGUGAGUGCCGGUACUGAGGAAAGAAGCACCGGCUACCUCCGU